rnacentral:rRNA from 1 species
UACGUAGGGUGCAAGCGUUAAUCGGAAUUACUGGGCGUAAAGCGUGCGCAGGCGGUUUUGUAAGUCUGUCGUGAAAGCCCCCGGGCUCAACCUGGGAAUUGCGAUGGAGACUGCAAGGCUUGAAUCUGGCAGAGGGGGGUAGAAUUCCACGUGUAGCAGUGAAAUGCGUAGAGAUGUGGAGGAACACCGAUGGCGAAGGCAGCCCCCCUGGGUCAAGAUUGACGCUCAUGCACGAAAGCGUGGGGAGCAAACAGG